rnacentral:rRNA from 1 species
CGGACGGGUGAGUAAUGUCUGGGAAACUGCCCGAUGGAGGGGAUAACUACUGGAAACGGUAGCUAAUACCGCAUAACGUCGCAAGACCAAAGAGGGGGACCUUAGGGCCUCUUGCCAUCGGAUGUGCCCAGAUGGGAUUAGCUAGUAGGUGGGUAACGGCUCACCUAGGCGACGAUCCCUAGCUGGUCUGAGAGGAUGACCAGCCACACUGGAACUGAGACACGGUCCAG